UUUUGCUUUCUUUGGAGAUCUGGUAAAAUUGGAUUGACAUAUAGAGAAGAUUAGCGUGCCCCUGCACAAGGAUGACGCACCUAACUCUGGUCAUUUUCUGAAUCUUC